rnacentral:rRNA from 1 species
CCUUCGGGGACAAAGUGACAGGUGGUGCAUGGUUGUCGUCAGCUCGUGUCGUGAGAUGUUGGGUUAAGUCCCGCAACGAGCGCAACCCUUGAUUUUAGUUGCCAGCAUUUAGUUGGGCACUCUAAAGUGACUGCCGGUGCAAGCCGGAGGAAGGUGGGGAUGACGUCAAAUCAUCAUGCCCCUUAUGACCUGGGCUACACACGUGCUACAAUGGAUAGUACAAAGGGUCGCGAAGCCGCGAGGUGGAGCUAAUCCCAUAAAACUAUUCUCAGUUCGGAUUGUAGGCUGCAACUCGCCUACAUGAAGCCGGAAUCGCUAGUAAUCGUGGAUCAGCAUGCCACGGUGAAUACGUUCCCGGGCCUUGUACACACCGCCCGUCACACCACGAGAGUUUGUAACACCCGAAGUCGGUAGGGUAACCUUUAUGGAGCCAGCCGCCGAAGGUGGGACAGAUAAUUGGGGUGAAGUCGUAACAAGGUAGCCGUAUCGGAAGGUGCGGCUGGAUCACCUCCUUUCUAAGGAA